UUUCUGUCCAAAGUAUUGCGCAUGAUUUAAAAAUUAAAAAACAAUUAAAAGGAAAUAAUAUAAUAAAGUUUAUAAAUACUUUUUUUUUUUUAAUUAUUAGAAUCCCUUAUUUGCCUUAGUUCUACCUUUCUCUAUCCAUUUUUCUUCUCCCCGUUCAAAUCACCACCACCAAACAACAAAAUGGCUUCGAAGAAGUAGCUAUCAAAUCUUAUGGGAGAGAUUAAGGUUUAGCAAUUAGUUCUCACUUAUUCCCAAUCUUCUUUUAAGUACACUGUUAGAGCUGUUGUUACAAGGUGUGAUGAAGAUAUUGCACGUGUUAUGAUUGAUUAAAAAGAAAGCUGUUUGUUAUCUUACUGUAGAAAGAGACAAGGUUAUGCAGCUCCUUGACAGUGGUUUGAAGGUUAAAGAAUAUGAGUUUUUGAGGAGGAACUUCAUUGAUUUUAGAUGCUUCGGUUUUAGUUUCAAGAGGACGUCGAUCUUAGCAUCAAGAAUUACUCUUUUGUAAUUUCUGUUUAUGAGGUAAUAUUGACAGUGAUUGUGGUGUUGUUGUGAACGAUAGUGAUGGUUAUCGUUAUAAAAGAUGCGGUGGUUAUUGUUCUCGACGGUGAGGGUGGCGUUGUGGUUGAUGAUGGCGGUGGUCAUUAACGAUGGUAUUGGCAGUGGGGAUUAUGCAGAUGCGAAGGUCAGGAUUUCUUCAGAAAUCGCAGAGAUUAUCCACUUCCACAGUUUUUAUUCCCUCAUGUGUAGCAACAUGGUUACUUAUGGUAGAGUCUGUUUGCUUUCUUAGGAAUUCGGAUCUUCUAUUUGCACGUAAAACUGCAAAUAUCCUAAUACCAAUAUGAAUAUCUAUUUUCCUUGAGCAACAUUGCGGAGUGAAGUGAAAUGGAGGACUGACGGGUUCUUGUGAACAUAAGUUGUUUGAGGAGGGGGAGUUGUAGAAUUGUAAGGAGAGGGAUGGACAUGUAGGGGGACGAAGAACAGGUGGUGGUGGUGGUGUUGGUGUGACAGCGGCGGUGGUGGUUGAACAAUGAAAACCAAAACAAGUAGAAAGAGCAAGCUACCAGAAAGGGGAGUCUUAGAGACUGUACAAGCAGAAAGCUUGUACAGGCUUUUCCUCAUAUACUCCCAAGAAAGGGAGCAACCUUUCCUGCCAUGAAGGAAAGGUCACUUCGACCUUACCUAAAGAAAAAAGAGACGUUGACAUAGACAUAGGACAACCGUUGGAAUAGAGAUAGGCAACAGUUAAACAAAGUGUAUAUAUAUGAACAAAUAAGUCACUUGUAAUCUCAGAAUCUUAUACAGAAAACAAUACAUCAUUAAUCACUAAUUUCACAUG